UUUUUUUUUUUUUAAUUUUGUUUAAUGGUAUAAACCGGUUCAAAUAGUUUGUAAACCUGUUUUAAUAUAUACAUUCUAUGUUUAUCUAUAUUCUAGAGUGAUGAGAGGACGAGAUCUUUGUAGAUGCAGUUUUUAGUGAUGAGGUCUGACACGGAGGCCAAGCCGUGGACGUUAAUGGCAGCGUAGAAGCUGGAGACAGCUUCAGAGUUCAGACACAGAUGUGGGAGCUGUUCGGGACGCAAUGUCGAUGGCUGUCUCCAACCACGCAGCUGCUUUUUCAGACGGACUACAGGAUGUGAACAAUUGCCACCGAGUGACGAUUGUUGGUUUCAAACUAUUGCCAGAAAGGUUUAUUCUUUGGACUGGACACCUGAGAUGAACCAGAUUGUCAGUGCAUCUCAACAAGACACGCUCAGUUAGAAGAGAAAAGUGAUGGAAAAGGGAAAGACACAACCAAAGGGCCAAUUGAUAAAGUGCUGAAAAUGCAAUAGUUUAGAUCUUGAAAAGGAUGUUGUUCUUCAAUGGCUGCCUUGAAUUUACCGUCUCUACCAAAUGUCCUUAUCUCAGACACUUGUGGAGAAGCUUAUGGUCUCUGUCAAAGCUGCAGAGCCUUUUCCUUCAAUCGUUGCAGCAUCUAAAACUAUUGCAGUGGUUUCAUCUGGAUUGUGUGGAGAUCACGGAGAUGCCAUACAUUUGACAACAAUAAUGCUACUGAUAUCAAUGAACAUAAAAUUUUCUCCAACUCUCUCUUUUUCAUGUUACCACCACUCCAUUAUAAGAAGCUAUCUAGAGAUUUUUUUUUUUCUGUCAACAGCUAUCUAGAGAUUUCAUACUUCAUAAUAACUUUAAAAUUGAAAAAUAAUUUACAUUUUCAUCUUUUUAGUAUCUAGAUCAAAAUCUAUUAACGACACAUUUAAUAAUUGAUGAAAUAUUUCUAAUUAUUUUCAAUCAAACCAAGUUCUUUUCAUCAAACUUUCUUUGAACAUAUAAUAAUAUAGUAAAUACGUAAAUAUAUUUCAAAAAUAUAUAGAAUU